UUAAAUAAACACAUCAAUAUUGUCAACACACAAGUUGACUCCUACUCAUCAAUACUACUGUCACUAUGUACAGUUGGCAUACACAAUACACAUUCAAAAUUCAAAAUAUUUUGUGACCAUAUAUGGUAAUGUGCUAUGACUACCGUAGGCAUCGCGUGAUCACUAGUACACGUACAAGUACAUCUUCAUAAUUGUAUAUAAUAAGCUACCCACUAGUGUUUACUGAGAGAUCAGACAAUAGGGAGAGUACAAGAUAAGAGAAGAGAAGACUACUAACAGUCAGUAUAAGCUACUCCAGUAAAGAAAGAACUGUAACAAGAAAUAGUGAGACUAUAGGACAGGACAGAUAUGGCAAAUGAAAUAACACAAAAAACAAAAGAUGAUGGACUAGCACAAGAAACAAAAGAUGAAAUGGAAAAAGAAAUUAAAAAAAUAGAAGAUGAAAUACAACAAUGGGAAGAAAGAGAUAAAACACCAGAAUACAUCAAGCAAAUGCAACAAGUCAAAGAUGAAAUGGAGUCUGAAUAUAAAAAAAUAAAAACAGAAAUGGAAAAUGUGGUAACAGCAAAAGAAAGACAUGAUACAGGUAAAGAUCAUAACAAAAAUUUGGAAAGCAUAAAAAAAGAAAAA